GCAUUUCCUGAUUCUGGAUUAAGUUCAAGAUUUCAAAUACGACUGGACUCGUUUCUGAUUAGAAAGUUUGAUAUUUAUCGUAGACUUUCCUGUCUUCCGUAUCCAAUGGGAGUGAGAUUGUAAAAAGAGAUGAUCCAGCUAGUUCACUGGAACUCAACAGGAGUUUUGCCGUUGAUUUCACUGGGGGAAGAACAGGCACUUUACUAGAUUAUGGACCCAAGCCUUUGCAUCAAGUUCAGACUGAAUCUUUGCUGAGGAUUGAAGAGAUCAUAGUCUUGUCGUCUUUGAAAUCAGAAGCUACAUGAGCUACACUUUGGCCUUGUCUUUGACAGACUCCUCCAGAAUCACCUUUAAGCCAAACCAGAGAAAUGCAAAAUAGACAAGAACAUUAUUGAGUUCCUCAUUUAUGUCCGAGGGCCUAACAAUAAAUCCACAGAAAAUAUCUUCCAUCACUGGAUGGAGAGCCCGAAAGGAUUAAAUGGAGUGUCAAAUUUUAUGCUUCAUUAAAGGAUUCUUCUAGCUGGUAGCACCAAUAACCACACUCCUCUGAACACUGGUUUGCUUUGUGUGGUCAGUGGAGGUACAGUCUGCCUUCGAUCAGCUAAAGAGAGCCUUCACGUCAGCUCCUGUUCUGGUGCAUCCAGACACUGCCAAAACUUUUACUGUGGAAGCAGAUGCCUAGGAGUUUGCAAUUGGGGUCAUAUUUUUUCAAAAUCCUGUAACCAACUCCAUCCGUGAACAGAUUGUUCAUAGAA